rnacentral:snRNA from 1 species
AUCACUUCUCAGCCUUUUGGCUAAGAUCAAGUGUAGAUAUUUAUGACAAGUAUAUAUAUAUAUAUUUUUUUUUAAUGUAUAUGUCAGCAUAUACAUGGUAUAUGAUUUUAAAUUAAACUUGUGAAAUCAUGAGCUCAU